rnacentral:rRNA from 1 species
UGGCGGCGUGCCUAAUACAUGCAAGUCGAACGGUCUUUCUAUGGAAGCUUGCUUCCACUGAGAAGAUAGUGGCGAACGGGUGAGUAACACGUGGGUAACCUGCCCAUAAGAGGGGGGAUAACAUCCGGAAACGGGUGCUAAUACCGCAUAGUUUUCUUGAUCGCAUGAUUGAGAAAGGAAAGACGGCCUUUGUGCUGUCGCUUAUGGAUGGACCCGCGGCGUAUUAGUUAGUUGGUGAGGUAACGGCUCACCAAGACGAUGAUACGUAGCCGACCUGAGAGGGUGAUCGGCCACAUUGGGACUGAGACACGGCCCAAACUCCUACGGGAGGCAGCAGUAGGGAAUCUUCCGCAAUGGACGAAAGUCUGACGGAGCAACGCCGCGUGAGUGAAGGAAGGUUUUCGGAUCGUAAAACUCUGUUGUCAGAGAAGAACAAGUUGGAGAGUAACUGCUCCAGCCUUGACGGUAUCUGACCAGAAAGCCACGGCUAACUACGUGCCAGCCGCCGC